UUCAUAGAACGUUCCAGCUUCAAGCAACUAGAAUCCACCAUUUUCAAUACACACACCUUAUCAAUGCCCUGGGAGCUGAUCGUAACGGGAGACGGGGAAUCAGGGUUCGAUUCCAGAGAGGAAGUCUGAUAAGCGGCUACCACAUCCAAGGAAAGCA
rnacentral:rRNA from 1 species